UCCCGAAUAGCUCAGUUGGUAGAGCAAACGACUGUUAAUCGUUGGGUCGUAGGUUCGAGUCCUACUUCGGGAG
rnacentral:tRNA from 1 species